AUACGAAAUCACACACGUAUCGACACAUGCAUCGGGGUGCUGCAACAGUAAUGUUGUGGUCGAUAGGAUGGGAUACGUGGAGGUUUAAC
rnacentral:sRNA from 1 species